UGGUCAGGUUGGAUCCCCGCCUAGGAUUCCAACCUCCUCCCAAAAACAAAACAAAACCAACAAACAAGAAACAAGCCCAACUUGUUCUGGAAGCGCUGUAUUGUUCCUUCCUCUGCCUAUGUUUCUCUUCAUGAUCAUAAGUGUGGCUAAGGUGGGCACGGCAGGGCUGGGGAGGUGGAGCCACAAGGAUCAGAGGUUCAACAUCAUUUUCACUGCUUAGAAUGUUCACAGCAGCCUACCGAUAAAAAACCAACAAAACCCCAAACAUAAUAGCCUAGGGGGUCUGUCAUUCUCAGCUACUCAGGAGGCCAGGUAAGAUGGUUGAGUUCAAGGCCAAGAAAAGGAAAACACAUGUCAAGCCACCAUCAUUCAGCAGUGAUGAGUUGGACAACAGCGCCAGAUGCAGAAAGAUUUGGAUCUUUCUUUCGAACUCCCGGGUGAGUGAGCAGACAGGUGCUGUGCUGCAGGUUGUCUUGCCGGGACACCAGCUCUGGACCUCUGGUCUGACAGAGGUCGGAGAUGAGACAUACAUUAUCCUGAUAACUAUAUUCGCAGAGGCUGAGUUAUAUGUGACAGUACUGAGAAGUAACCAUGCCUGGGUCGGCUCCCUUUGCUCUUCUACCGUGCGUGAGAAGCAAUCUCUGUACUGUUUCAGGCUCUUUGCCAAAUAACUUUGUUGGGAAAAGGCCACAUCUGGAACACCUCUUGCUGAUCUUGGUGCCCUGCUGCUAGGCUGACUGUAUUUCUAUAGAGGGACCCUGCCUUGGGGUCACCUACAGCUCCUGCUUUUGGACCCCAAAUUACAGCUGCCCUGUCACCGCCCCCUUCAGUUGUUGAUAAUAGUUGUAUAAAGGCACACAGAAUAUGAAAGUGCACUUAAACCUCAUUUCCAUGUAUAGCUCAGCACCAUGAAGCUCAUUCGAAGGCUAUGCUUCAGCUUCCACCAUCCAUCUCCAUAGCUCCCAAUCUGACGCUCUGGCUCCAGUGAUUCCAACAAUGUCCUGGGGAGUGGGAAGCUGAGGGAGUCCAGAGAUGUUGAAAAACAUCUUUAUUGGUGGGUGGUGGUGUGGCACGACUACAGUCCUGUCACACAAGAGGCAGAGGCAGGCAGGUCUUUGUGAGGUUUAGGCCAGCCUGGUCUACAGAGUGAGUUCCAGGAUAUCUAGGGCCACACAGAGAAACUGUGUCUCAGAAAAACAAACAAGCCAGGUGUGGUAGCACACGCCUUUAAUCCCAGCACUUGGGAGGCAGAGGCAGGCAGGUUUCUGAGUUCGAGGCCAGCCUGGUCUAGAGUGAGUUCCAGGACAGCCAGGGUGAUACAGAGAAACCCUGUCUUGAAAAAACAAAACAAAACAAACAAACAAAAAAAACCCCAGAAAAACAAAACAAAACCAGCUUUUAUUUAUUUUAAAAUACCAGUUUCCAGGUAACCCAGGUUGGCCCUGAGUUCUCUGUGUAACUGAGAAUGAUCUGAGUCAAUCUCUCACCUCUAUUUCCACUGUACUGAGACUAUAGGUGUGUUCCCACCUCUGUCUCCACUGUACUGAGACUAUAGGUGUGUUCCCACCUCUGUCUCCACUGUACUGAGAUUACAGGUGUGCUCCCACCUCGACCUCCACUGGACUGAGACUAUAGGUGUACACCACCAGAAUUGCUUUUGAGGCUGUGUAAUAACCCAGGGCCUAUGUCAUAUGUUCGUCAUGCACCAGUGCUUAUCCAGGUGACUUCUCUCUGUGAGAAUUGUUAAAUGCUGGUAGAAUACCCUUCCAAAAUUGCAUGUGUUGGCUCAAGUCUGUAAUCCUAGGAUCCCAGAGGCUGAGGCAGAUGGAUUUUAUAGAUUUGAAAAUGAGAUGAGCCUGGAGUGCAGAAGGAGAAUCUUUUAAAAUAAACACCAAAUAAAUUGAUUAAAAAUUUAAAAAGCAGGCGGCCAUGGUGACUCAGGCCUGUAAUCUUAGCAUUUAGGAAAACUGUCAGAAGUCCAAGAUCAGUCUAGGCUACAGUGCCAGACCCUGUCCAGACAAACAGAAAGAGGGGUUCUGGGGAUGUUGCUCAGUGACUGGAGUAACUGUCUAGCAAGCACAAGGCUUUGCGUUUCAUCUCCAGCACUGUGUAAUGGGCAAGUCCAUCCAGUCUGUGUUACAUGAGACCUUACCUCAAUCAAAAGCAAAACAGAAAAGCGGUUGGGGAGAGGGCUCAGUGGGUUAGAAAGCUGUGCACAGGUCUCAGGACCUGAGUUCUAAUCCCCAGCACCCAUUUAAAGCUGGGUAUGACCAGGUGAGUGCCACCCUAGGCUUUGGGGUGGAGGCAAGCAGAUGCUGGGAGCUUGCUAGCCAGCCUGCCCAGCUGAAGUACUUCAGUGAAGAAGCCUGUCUUAAAGGAAAGAAAAUGGAAGACUAAACAAAGGGGUGGGAAGCUGUAUGCUCCUCUAACCUCUGCAUGCGGGUGCACAGUGUCGCCUCCCUCCAAACACCCCAGAACAAAGCAAAAACAAAAAAACAAAAAAACAAAAAAAAAAAAAUCAAAUAUAUUUCCAGAGUGUAGCUUAGUUGGAGUGCCCUUGUCUAGUGUAUGUAUCUAGGCACGGCAAAAAGAAAAAAGAAAUGCCCCACUGAUACCCCUCGUGGUUAGGUGACUAUUUGAGCAUCAAUUAGGUAGGUUUCUCAGGAUAGGCACCUCAGCCAAUUAAGACCCUGGCUAGAGAGUUGGCUCAGUGGUGAAGAGCACUUACAGCAAUUGGAGACUUGGGUUCGGUUCCCAGUACUCACAUGACCGUUCAUAACCAUGAGUAGCUCCAAUUUCUGGGUAUCCAAAGCCCUUUUCUGACUUCAGCGAGAAUCAGAAACACUCAUGUUGCACAUACAUAGAAUUAGAAAGUAAAUCCUAAAUCAAACAAAAACCCUGGCCGUGAAGCUCUCCUCGUCCUCCGGGGGGCGCACGACGGCCUUAUAUAGCCAAAGAUUACAGCGGAGACUCGCGGUGCAUUUCCAGCCAGGCGCACUCUGGACAGCCCAGGCUUCUCAGGGGCUUGAGGCUCAAGAUUGCGAAGCUGCACCCGCGAAAGUCCGGUGCCGGAAGGUUCUCAGGACCAGAAGCAUAUAAUCACGCGUUCUUUAAAGCUUCUCUUGUCCUAAGCUUCGGGUCUUCCGACGGCUACAGUUCCGCGGGAGACGACAUUGUAAGCAGGCGCACUUCAGUCAGCCCUUCCCGGCGUCCCUAGCGACAGCGUCCCGGGGGCCUCUGGGGGCCUCGGGGCAAGAUGGCGGCGUCGGCGGGGUCCGAAAAGCGCGAGCGGAAGCCUCCGGGGCGAGUGUGAGGAGGGGUCCCGGGGUCCCGGGUAUCUCCGGGCCGGGGCCCCGCUGCGGAACGGACCAUGCUACGUUCUACCGGCUUCUUCCGCUCCAUCGACUGCCCAUACUGGGCGGGAGCUCCCGGGGGGCCUUGCCGGCGGCCCUACUGCCACUUCCGGCACCGCGGAGCUCGGGGUCCCGGCGCUCCCGGUAGCGGCGGCGCAGCAUCUCCUGCAUCAGGGCUUGGCUAUGACCCGUACAACCCAGAGCUGCCCCAGCCUCCUGUGCAGAGGGAGAAUGGUGCUCUGGGUCAGGGUGAUGGCAUGCUGGAGCUGGAGCUGGUCAACCAGGCCAUCGAGGCUGUGCGCGGCGAGGUGGAGCUGGAACAGAGGCGCUACCAGGAGCUCCUCGAGACUGCACGGGGGCACAGUGCUGGGCCUUCAGCCCUGGCGCCUUGCAGCCCUGCCACAAGCAUAGAUGACGAUGACACCUUCUCAUUGGCCCUAACUUACACGCCGGGUGGCCUGCUGAGCCCGGAUGCUGCCUACCAGCCCACCCCACUGGCUGUCCCUGCCGAGCCAGGGCACAAGUACUCACUGGCCCCUUCAGACAGGAGUCAGGGCAGAGCUGCAGGAGGUGCUGGUGCCCUGGAGUAUGUCCCCAAGGCUGUGGGCCAGCCGCGCCGCUGUGGCCGCCCUGUGUCUGGUGGCAAGUAUGUGGUGGAUAGUUCAAAACCUUCAACAGAUCUAGAGUAUGACCCACUGUCCAACUACUCAGCCCGGCACCUUGGCAGGGCCAGUGCUAGGGAUGAGAGGGCCACCAAGAGACCGCGGGGCUCCAGGGGUGCUGAGCCAUACACUCCUGCCCUCAAGAAGCCCUGUGACCCCUUCGGUGGCUGUGAGGCCAGGUUCUCAGACUCAGAAGAUGAUGUGACCAGCCCCCCAAAGGCUGAUGUUAGCAGCCCCAAGGCUGGAGCUGACCCUGAAAGCAAGGCACCUGGGAAGCCUGUCUCCAAGGAGGGCAGAGAGCAUGAGGACGGUGGCCUGCGGGGCACCAAGGAGAUGGCUGUGCAGUAUGACGUGGAAGACCUUGGGCAGCCCCCCAAAGCACCAGACACAGUGUCUGUGGUCAAGCCUGGCUCCCCAGCCAGGGCCUCUCAAGAUGCUAGGGUCCCCAAGGAAGGUAAAGCCAAAAAGAAGAAAAGUGGGACAUCAGCCAGCCUCAGCCACAAGGACAAGGUUCGCAAGAAAGACAAAAAGAAAGAGAAAGACCCAGCCAGGCCCCGAGGGAAGGAAAAGGUGUGUACGGACAAGAAGAAGCUGCCAGCCAGUAACCCCAGGGGGAAGGCCCAGGGGCCUGAAGGGACCAAGAAAAAGCCAUCCUCUGCGACCACAGUGGCCAGCUCAGGGAAAGGGGGGUCAGGCCGCCCCUCCAGCACGGGACCUCAGGACUCUGGGCCUGGUCCCCAUGCACCACUGGCCUGGAAGGCUGGUAGUGCAAAGAAGAUGUCAUCGGGAAAGUUGGUGGAACGCAAGGCCCGCUCCCUGGAUGAAGGAGCCCCCCAGGACACCCCUAAGCUCAAGAAACGGGCCCUGAGCCAUGCUGAACUAUUUGGGGAUGAGAGUGAGGAGGAGGACUCAAGCCUGGGAGCGGGAGCACCCCGGGUCUGGCCCCCGACCCUGCCCAGCCUUAGCUCAGACUCAGAAUCAGACUCCGACUCCAGCCUGGGCCUGGACGAGACAAAGGUGCCCAAGCGUCUCAAGGCCGCGCCGCCCGCAUCCCCCGUGCCGCCCUCCCCAUUGUCCUCCUCCUCCUCGUCCUCGGGAGCCAGCCAGUGUGCAGAGGAGGAUGUGGACUACUCGGCUCUGGAGAAGGAGGUGGACUUCGAUGUGGACCCUAUGGAGGAGUGCCUGCGGAUCUUCAACGAGUCCACCAGCGUGAAGACAGAGGACAAGGGCCGGCUGGCCCGGCAGGUGAGGGCACUGGCCUUGGCAGGCUAGGGCCCUUGGAGGGGACACUCAGUCCCACGGUCAUCUCCAGCCGAUUCCAGCCUCUGUGACCCAAGCAGAAGCCGCUCCUUCAGCGCCGGCCUCUUAUAACUCCAUUCAAAAUUCAGGAACCCUCGGUGGCCGCCUGCUGCCCCCCUGCACCCUGCCCAGAAUGAGGAUGCUGGCUUUCUACCCACCCAGCCGGCUUCCCGUGGCAGCGUCCGACUGACUGUUCAGACUGACCGGCAAAGGGCCACCCAAGGAGAAGGCUGAGGAGAAGACACAUGCGGGCCUGACCACUUUGUUCCCGGGGCAGAAGAGGAGGGUCUCACACCUUUGCAAGCCAGGCAAGGAGUCAGAGGCCCCAAAGAGGACCCCCGUGGCUCCCCCAGCACGCCCCCCGACUGCUCAGGAGGUGUGCUACCGGCGAGCACAGCUAGCACAGAGGGACUCGGCCAGUUGGCUACAGGCCGCCCCGCGGCCAACAGAGAGGCUCUCCUCCGUGCACAUCUCAGCGCCUGGGGAGAAGAGGAGGAUUGCUCACGUACCCAACCCCCGACUGGCUGCCGCCCCCACAGGUGCCAAGAGGGCGCUCUCUGCCAGCAGCAGCCAGGCGUCCCACGGCCCCGAACCUGGCAGCCAGCCACUGAAGACACGCACAUUGUCAGGGAUGGCAUCUAAGACAACCACCACCGUCACCCCCAAGCGCAUCGCCCACAGCCCAUCACUCCAGAGUCUAAAGAAGCCUGUUAUCCCAAAAGAAUUUGGCGGCAAGGUUCCCACUGUGGUCCGCCAGCGCUAUCUCAACCUGUUCAUUGAGGAGUGUCUCAAGUUCUGUUCGUCCAACCAGGAGGCCAUCGAGAAGGCCCUGAAUGAGGAAAAGGUGGCGUAUGACCGCAGUCCCAGCAAGAACAUAUACCUGAACGUGGCCGUGAACACCCUUAAGAAGCUAAGGGGCCUGGUCCCCAACACCGUGCCCAACCUCAGCAAAGCCAGUGGCCGCAGGGUUGUGUCUCAUGAGGUUGUACUGGGGGGCAAAUUGGCAGCCAAAACCAGCUUCUCAUUGAGCCGCCCCAGCAGUCCGCGGGUAGAGGAGCUGAAAGGGACUGCCCUGUACAGCCGCCUCAGGGAGUACCUGCUCACUCAGGAGCAGCUGAAGGAGAAUGGCUACCCCUUCCCCCACCCAGAGCGCCCAGGGGGUGCCAUCAUCUUCACAGCCGAGGAGAAGAAACCCAAGGACCCCUCCUGCAGAAUUUGCUGUCGCUGUGGCACAGAGUACCUUGUGUCCUCCUCGGGCCGCUGCGUGCGCAGUGAGGAGUGUUACUACCACUGGGGGCGGCUGCGGCGGAAUCGAGUGGCUGGGGGCUGGGAGACCCAGUAUAUGUGCUGCUCAGCUGCCGUCGGCUCUGUAGGCUGUCAGGUUGCCAAGCAACACGUGCAGGACGGCCGGAAGGAGAACCUGGAGGGCUUUGUGCGCACCUUCCAGAAGGAGCUGCCUGAAGAUGCCCAUGCAGGGGUCUUUGCCCUCGACUGUGAGAUGUCCUACACUACAUAUGGCCUGGAGCUGACCCGAGUCACAGUUGUGGACACAGACAUGCAGGUCGUGUAUGACACCUUUGUCAAGCCUGACAAUGAAGUUGUUGACUACAACACCAGGUGUGUCCCGGCCUACCGCGGGACCCCAUCCUCGUUCCCAUCCUGCCCGGCCCGACGCCCCUCUUGCAUCCGGCCCUCUGCAGGUUCUCAGGGGUGACAGAGGCUGACCUUGUGGACACGAGCAUCACGCUGCGGGACGUGCAGGCUGUCUUGCUGAGCAUGUUCAGCGCCGACACCAUCCUCAUCGGACACAGCCUGGAGAGCGACCUGCUGGCUCUCAAGGUCAUCCACGGCACAGUGGUGGACACGUCUGUGCUUUUCCCACAUCGCCUGGGCCUGCCCUAUAAGCGCUCCCUGCGGAACCUCAUGGCUGACUACCUCAGACAGAUCAUCCAAGACAAUGUGGACGGGCACAGCUCCAGUGAGGAUGCCAGUGCCUGCAUGCACCUUGUCAUCUGGAAGAUCCGAGAAGAUGCCAAGACCAAGCGAUGACUCCCACCCAACAUUACCAUGUCACCCCCCUUCUUCCAUCCCUGGCUGCCCUCAGCCCCAAUCCCUCAGCCCCGAUGCCCUCGGCCUCUUUUCAAACUCUGUAAUAAAACAUGACAGCUGACCACGCGUCUCCCAAGCUCCAGCUGCAGGUCUGCAGUGAGCAGCCCAGAGUCGGGGCUGAGACCAACCCUCAGCCCAACCCCACACCUGCCCAACGUGACAUCACCUCCUUUCCCAGUCCUGUCCCCUGGAGCCUGCUGCAGCCCAGGGCAGAGCUGGCCUAGCCUCUGUGCCCCAGUCAGGCACCCCCACUCUUACCCCAGCCCACUGCUCUAGACAGUGGGCUCUGCCUUCUGCUUCUUUGUAUAUAACGCAGGCAACAGGACAAGCCCUCAUGGUUUGAGACAGGGGUUGUCUUUUUUUACUUUAUACUGUUAUUUUUAUUAAUUUUUAAUUUAAACCUGCUGACCCGCACACCUCCUCAGCUGAGGGGUCCAACCCUGGUACCGCUGGGAUCCAGGGACCGAACCCCACAUGGUCAGUCCCAUGGGCCUGGAUGUUUGCCCUGCCUUGUGGGGUAGCUUCCAGAACUCACCCUAGCCCACCAGGGCUCCCCAACCUCAGAGCCAAGCCAGCCCUUUGGCCUGGCCUUCCAGGGCCUCUGGGCUGUCAUCCUGGGGGCUAUUGCCUCCCUCUGUGAGUAGAAACAGAAUAAAUGUUUGUAUGAACUUUA